AGGGCGUGGGAAGCUCAGUGGUAGUGCAUCUGCCUUGCCUUCAGAAGGUUCCGGGUUCGAAUCCCAACCCCUCUG